GACGAACGCUGGCGGCGUGCUUAACACAUGCAAGUCGAACGAAGUGGCGAACGGGUGAGUAACGCGUAAUCAACCUGCCCUUCAGAGGGGGACAACAGUUGGAAACGACUGCUAAUACCGCAUACUGAAGGAGGGGAUUGCGUGUGAUUAGCUAGUUGGGGGGGUAACGGCCCACCAAGGCGAAGAUCAGUAGCCGGUCUGGGGGGAUGGACGGGCACAUUGGGACUGGGACACGGCCCAGACUCCUACGGGAGGCAGCAGUGGGGAAUCUUCCGAAAUGGACGAAAGGCCGACUGAGCAACGCCGCGGGAGUGAUGACGGGCUUCGGGUUGUAAAGCUCUUUUAAUCGGGACGCGGUACCGGCAGAGAAAGCCACGGCUAACUACGUGCCAGCCGCCGCGGUAAUAC
rnacentral:rRNA from 1 species